CCUACGAGAGGCAGCAGUGAGGAAUAUUGGUCAAUGGGCGCGAGCCUGAACCAGCCAAGUAGCGUGAAGGAUGACUGCCCUACGGGUUGUAAACUUCUUUUAUAAAGGAAUAAAGUGAGGCACGUGUGCCUUUUUGUAUGUACUUUAUGAAUAAGGAUCGGCUAACUCCGUGCCAGCAGCCGCGGUAAUCCGGAGGAUCCGAGCGUUAUCCGGAUUUAUUGGGUUUAAAGGGAGCGUAGAUGGGUUGUUAAGUAAGUUGUGAAAGUUUGCGGCUCAACCGUAAAAUUGCAAUGGAUACUGGCAGUCUUGAGUACAGUUGAGGUAGGCGGAAUUCGUGGUGUAGCGGUGAAAUGCUUAGAUAUCACGAAGAACUCCGAUUGCGAAGGCAGCUUACUAGACUGCCACUGACAUUGAUGCUCGAAAGUGUGGGUAUCAAACAGGAUUAGAUACCCGUGUAGUC
rnacentral:rRNA from 1 species